rnacentral:rRNA from 1 species
UUCGACUCAAUCAGAGAGC